rnacentral:rRNA from 1 species
ACGGCAGCACGGGUGCUUGCACCUGGUGGCGAGUGGCGAACGGGUGAGUAAUACAUCGGAACAUGUCCUGUAGUGGGGGAUAGCCCGGCGAAAGCCGGAUUAAUACCGCAUACGAUCUACGGAUGAAAGCGGGGGACCUUCGGGCCUCGCGCUAUAGGGUUGGCCGAUGGCUGAUUAGCUAGUUGGUGGGGUAAAGGCCUACCAAGGCGACGAUCAGUAGCUGGUCUGAGAGGACGACCAGCCACACUGGGACUGAGACACGGCCCAGACUCCUACGGGAGGCAGCAGUGGGGAAUUUUGGACAAUGGGCGAAAGCCUGAUCCAGCAAUGCCGCGUGUGUGAAGAAGGCCUUCGGGUUGUAAAGCACUUUUGUCCGGAAAGAAAUCCCUGGCUCUAAUACAGUCGGGGGAUGACGGUACCGGAAGAAUAAGCACCGGCUAACUACGUGCCAGCAGCCGCGGUAAUACGUAGGGUGCGAGCGUUAAUCGGAAUUACUGGGCGUAAAGCGUG